rnacentral:rRNA from 1 species
UACGUAGGGUGCGAGCGUUGUCCGGAUUUAUUGGGCGUAAAGAGCUCGUAGGCGGUUUGUCGCGUCGGCCGUGAAAUCUCCACGCUUAACGUGGAGCGUGCGGUCGAUACGGGCAGACUUGAGUUCGGUAGGGGAGACUGGAAUUCCUGGUGUAGCGGUGAAAUGCGCAGAUAUCAGGAGGGAACACCGGUGGCGAAGGCGGGUCUCUGGGCCGAUACUGACGCUGGAGGAGCG